CCUACGGGCGGCAGCAGUGGGGAAUAUUGGACAAUGGGGGCAACCCUGAUCCAGCCAUGCCGCGUGUGUGAAGAAGGCCCUCGGGUUGUAAAGCACUUUCAGUGAGGAAGAACGCCUGGUGGUUAAUACCCAUCAGGAAAGACAUCACUCACAGAAGAAGCACCGGCUAACUCCGUGCCAGCAGCCGCGGUAAUACGGAGGGUGCGAGCGUUAAUCGGAAUUACUGGGCGUAAAGCGCGCGUAGGUGGCUUGAUAAGCCGGUUGUGAAAGCCCCGGGCUCAACCUGGGAACGGCAUCCGGAACUGUCAAGGUAGAGUGCAGGAGAGGAAGGUAGAAUUCCCGGUGUAGCGGUGAAAUGCGUAGAGAUCGGGAGGAAUACCAGUGGCGAAGGCGGCCUUCUGGACUGACACUGACACUGAGGUGCGAAAGCGUGGGUAGCAAACAGGAUUAGAUACCCUUGUAGUC
rnacentral:rRNA from 1 species